rnacentral:rRNA from 1 species
CCUACGGGCCGCACCAGUGGGGAAUAUUGCACAAUGGGCGCAAGCCUGAUGCAGCUAUGCCGCGUGUAUGAAGAAGGCCUUAGGGUUGUAAAGUACUUUCAGUUGGGAGGAAGGCGUUGAUGCUAAUAUCAUCAACGAUUGACGUUACCCGCAGAAGAAGCACCGGCUAACUCCGUGCCAGCAGCCGCGGUAAUACGGAGGGUGCAAGCGUUAAUCGGAAUUACUGGGCGUAAAGCGCACGCAGGCGGUUUGUUAAGUCAGAUGUGAAAUCCCCGGGCUCAACCUGGGAACUGCAUUCGAAACUGGCAGGCUAGAGUCUUGUAGAGGGGGGUAGAAUUCCAGGUGUAGCGGUGAAAUGCGUAGAGAUCUGGAGGAAUACCGGUGGCGAAGGCGGCCCCCUGGACAAAGACUGACGCUCAGGUGCGAAAGCGUGGGGAGCAAACAGGAUUAGAUACCCUCGUAGUC